UACGUAGGGACCAAGCGUUGUUCGGAUUUACUGGGCGUAAAGGGCGCGUAGGCGGCAUGACAAGUCACUUGUGAAAUCUUCGGGCUUAACCCGGAACGGCCAAGUGAUACUGUCGCGCUAGAGUGCGGAAGGGGCAAUCGGAAUUCUCGGUGUAGCGGUGAAAUGCGUAGAUAUCGAGAGGAACACCAGUGGCGAAGGCGGUUGCCUGGGGCUUUGCUGA
rnacentral:rRNA from 1 species